rnacentral:rRNA from 2 species
CGGGCGUUAAGUUGCAGGGUAUAGACCCGAAACCCGGUGAUCUAGCCAUGGGCAGGUUGAAGGUUGGGUAACACUAACUGGAGGACCGAACCGACUAAUGUUGAAAAAUUAGCGGAUGACCUGUGGCUGGGGGUGAAAGGCCAAUCAAACCGGGAGAUAGCUGGUUCUCCCCGAAAGCUAUUUAGGUAGCGCCUCGUGAAUUCAUCUCCGGGGGUAGAGCACUGUUUCGGCUAGGGGGCCAUCCCGGCUUACCAACCCGAUGCAAACUGCGAAUACCGGAGAAUGUUAUCACGGGAGACACACGGCGGGUGCUAACGUCCGUCGUGAAGAGGGAAACAACCCAGACCGCCAGCUAAGGUCCCAAAGUCAUGGUUAAGUGGGAAACGAUGUGGGAAGGCCCAGACAGCCAGGAUGUUGGCUUAGAAGCAGCCAUCAUUUAAAGAAAGCGUAAUAGCUCACUGGUCGAGUCGGCCUGCGCGGAAGAUGUAACGGGGCUAAACCAUGCACCGAAGCUGCGGCAGCGACACUGUGUGUUGUUGGGUAGGGGAGCGUUCUGUAAGCCUGUGAAGGUGUG